GAUGAACGCUGGCGGCGUGCCUAAUACAUGCAAGUCGAGCGAACGGACGAGAAGCUUGCUUUUCUGAUGUUAGCGGCGGACGGGUGAGUAACACGUGGAUAACCUACCUAUAAGACUGGGAUAACUUCGGGAAACCGGAGCUAAUACCGGAUAAUAUUUUGAACCGCAUGGUUCAAAAUUGAAAGACGGUCUUGCUGUCACUUAUAGAUGGAUCCGCGCUGCAUUAGCUAGUUGGUAAGGUAACGGCUUACCAAGGCAACGAUGCAUAGCCGACCUGAGAGGGUGAUCGGCCACACUGGAACUGAGACACGGUCAAGACUCCUACGGGAGGCAGCAGUAGGGAAUCUUCCGCAAAGGGCGAAAGCCUGACGGAGCAACGCCGCGUGAGUGAUGAAGGUCUUCGGAUCGUAAAACUCUGUUAUUAGGGAAGAACAUAUGUGUAAGUAACUGUGCACAUCUUGACGGUACCUAAUCAGAAAGCCACGGCUAACUACGUG
rnacentral:rRNA from 1 species